rnacentral:rRNA from 1 species
GGGUUGUGAGGUUAAGCGACUAAGCGUACACGGUGGAUGCCCUGGCAGUCAGAGGCGAUGAAGGGCGUGCUAAUCUGCGAUAAGCGCCGGUAAGGUGAUAUGAACCGUUAUAACCGGCGAUACCCGAAUGGGGAAACCCAGUGUGACUCGUCACACUAUCAUUAACUGAAUCCAUAGGUUAAUGAGGCGAACCGGGGGAACUGAAACAUCUAAGUACCCCGAGGAAAAGAAAUCAACCGAGAUUCCCCCAGUAGCGGCGAGCGAACGGGGAGGAGCCCAGAGCCUGAAUCAGCAUGUGUGUUAGUGGAAGCGUCUGGAAAGGCGCGCGAUACAGGGUGACAGCCCCGUACACAAAAGCGCAUGUGCUGUGAGCUCGAUGAGUAGGGCGGGACACGUGGUAUCCUGUCUGAAUAUGGGGGGACCAUCCUCCAAGGCUAAAUACUCCUGACUGACCGAUAGUGAACCAGUACCGUGAGGGAAAGGCGAAAAGAACCCCGGCGAGGGGAGUGAAAAAGAACCUGAAACCGUGUACGUACAAGCAGUGGGAGCACAGGUUUACCUGUGUGACUGCGUACCUUUUGUAUAAUGGGUCAGCGACUUAUAUUCUGUAGCAAGGUUAACCGUAUAGGGGAGCCGUAGGGAAACCGAGUCUUAACCGGGCGUUAAGUUGCAGGGUAUAGACCCGAAACCCGGUGAUCUAGCCAUGGGCAGGUUGAAGGUUGGGUAACACUAACUGGAGGACCGAACCGACUAAUGUUGAAAAAUUAGCGGAUGACCUGUGGCUGGGGGUGAAAGGCCAAUCAAACCGGGAGAUAGCUGGUUCUCCCCGAAAGCUAUUUAGGUAGCGCCUCGUGAAUUCAUCUCCGGGGGUAGAGCACUGUUUCGGCUAGGGGGCCAUCCCGGCUUACCAACCCGAUGCAAACUGCGAAUACCGGAGAAUGUUAUCACGGGAGACACACGGCGGGUGCUAACGUCCGUCGUGAAGAGGGAAACAACCCAGACCGCCAGCUAAGGUCCCAAAGUCAUGGUUAAGUGGGAAACGAUGUGGGAAGGCCCAGACAGCCAGGAUGUUGGCUUAGAAGCAGCCAUCAUUUAAAGAAAGCGUAAUAGCUCACUGGUCGAGUCGGCCUGCGCGGAAGAUGUAACGGGGCUAAACCAUGCACCGAAGCUGCGGCAGCGACGCUGAUGCGUUGUUGGGUAGGGGAGCGUUCUGUAAGCCUGUGAAGGUGGCCUGUGAGGGUUGCUGGAGGUAUCAGAAGUGCGAAUGCUGACAUAAGUAACGAUAAAGCGGGUGAAAAGCCCGCUCGCCGGAAGACCAAGGGUUCCUGUCCAACGUUAAUCGGGGCAGGGUGAGUCGACCCCUAAGGCGAGGCCGAAAGGCGUAGUCGAUGGGAAACGGGUUAAUAUUCCCGUACUUGGUGUUACUGCGAAGGGGGGACGGAGAAGGCUAUGUUGGCCGGGCGACGGUUGUCCCGGUUUAAGCGUGUAGGUGUGUGUUCCAGGUAAAUCCGGUUCACUUUAACACUGAGGCGUGAUGACGAGGCACUACGGUGCUGAAGCAACAAAUGCCCUGCUUCCAGGAAAAGCCUCUAAGCAUCAGGUAACAUCAAAUCGUACCCCAAACCGACACAGGUGGUCAGGUAGAGAAUACCAAGGCGCUUGAGAGAACUCGGGUGAAGGAACUAGGCAAAAUGGUGCCGUAACUUCGGGAGAAGGCACGCUGACACGUAGGUGAAGUGAUUUACUCAUGGAGCUGAAGUCAGUCGAAGAUACCAGCUGGCUGCAACUGUUUAUUAAAAACACAGCACUGUGCAAACACGAAAGUGGACGUAUACGGUGUGACGCCUGCCCGGUGCCGGAAGGUUAAUUGAUGGGGUCAGCGCAAGCGAAGCUCCUGAUCGAAGCCCCGGUAAACGGCGGCCGUAACUAUAACGGUCCUAAGGUAGCGAAAUUCCUUGUCGGGUAAGUUCCGACCUGCACGAAUGGCGUAAUGAUGGCCAGGCUGUCUCCACCCGAGACUCAGUGAAAUUGAACUCGCUGUGAAGAUGCAGUGUACCCGCGGCAAGACGGAAAGACCCCGUGAACCUUUACUAUAGCUUGACACUGAACAUUGAGCCUUGAUGUGUAGGAUAGGUGGGAGGCUUUGAAGCGUGGACGCCAGUCUGCAUGGAGCCGGCCUUGAAAUACCACCCUUUAAUGUUUGAUGUUCUAACGUGGACCCGUGAUCCGGGUUGCGGACAGUGUCUGGUGGGUAGUUUGACUGGGGCGGUCUCCUCCUAAAGAGUAACGGAGGAGCACGAAGGUUGGCUAAUCCUGGUCGGACAUCAGGAGGUUAGUGCAAUGGCAUAAGCCAGCUUGACUGCGAGCGUGACGGCGCGAGCAGGUGCGAAAGCAGGUCAUAGUGAUCCGGUGGUUCUGAAUGGAAGGGCCAUCGCUCAACGGAUAAAAGGUACUCCGGGGAUAACAGGCUGAUACCGCCCAAGAGUUCAUAUCGACGGCGGUGUUUGGCACCUCGAUGUCGGCUCAUCACAUCCUGGGGCUGAAGUAGUCCCAAGGGGUAUGGCUGUUCGCCAUUUAAAGUGGUACGCGAGCUGGGUUUAGAACGUCGUGAGACAGUUCGGUCCCUAUCUGCCGUGGGCGCUGGAGAACUGAGGGGGGCUGCUCCUAGUACGAGAGGACCGGAGUGGACGCAUCACUGGUGUUCGGGUUGUCAUGCCAAUGGCACUGCCCGGUAGCUAAAUGCGGAAGAGAUAAGUGCUGAAAGCAUCUAAGCACGAAACUUGCCCCGAGAUGAGUUCUCCCUGAGACUUAGAGUCUCCUGAAGGAACGUUGAAGACGACGACGUUGAUAGGCCGGGUGUGUAAGCGCAGCGAUGCGUUGAGCUAACCGGUACUAAUGAACCGUGAGGCUUAACCUUACAACGCCGAAG